GCCGGUUCAUCCUUGGUGUGUCUAAGGAGGUGUUCGGAAGAGAAUCAUCCUUCGUGAAGUAUUCGGAGGAGGUGUUCAUCCUUUGUGAAGACUCAAAGGAGGUGUAGUUUCAUCUCUUGUGGUAUCAAGAGAGGUGUUUUCUAAACUUGUUAGGGCCUGGCGAGUGUAUGAGAGAAGAAGAUAUAGGAGGAACAGGGGGGAGGACGAACGUCUUGAGCAAGAGGGGAACCGUGCGGUAGCGAACGAGCGUUACGAGCAGGAGAUGACAAGGAGCGAGGACGAACGCCCUCAGCGAGAGGAGGACGAACGAGCGAGGCGACAAGGAGUGAGGACGAGCGCCCAGGGCGAGCAGGGCGCGGACGAACGUCCUCAAUAAGGACGAGCGUCCAUAAAUAAGGACGAGCGUCCUGAACAAAGGGGGGGACGACAACGUACGAUUAAAUGACAAGCGGAGGGACAGGCGGAUUUUCAUGGGAAGUUAGCAGAGUAAUUACAGUAUUAAAUACAAUAAAUAAGGAUAGAAUGAUUCUGUCCAGAUAAUGUUAAUAAAGGGGCAAUUACUACUAUCAUUCCCUACCUUUUCUGGAAGGCAUGAUUAGUAUUAAUAAGGGAGGCACGUAGAAUUAGGGUAUGUUUUUU
rnacentral:sRNA from 1 species